rnacentral:rRNA from 1 species
UACGUAGGGCGCAAGCGUUGUUCGGAAUUACUGGGCGUAAAGGGCGCGUAGGCGGCCUGUUAAGUCGAACGUGAAAUCCCUGGGCUCAACCCAGGAACUGCGUCCGAUACUGGCAGGCUUGAAUUCGGGAGAGGGAUGUGGAAUUCCAGGUGUAGCGGUGAAAUGCGUAGAUAUCUGGAGGAACACCGGUGGCGAAGGCGGCAUCCUGGACCGAUAUUGACGCUGAGGCGCGAAAGCCAGGGGAGCAAACGGG